GUGGGCGCCCCGGCUCCCACGCGAGGCCAUGGGCCCGCAUGGCCAGUCCCGGCCCGGACCCGCUCCGGCUCCCCCGGCCCGGACGGACCCUCUCCGCUCAGCAGAUCUGAGUUGCAGUAUCUACCUGGGACCCUGUGAAUUAUAAAAGGCUGUCUACCUACUACAAGAAGUGGAGCUACCAGAUUCUCAAACAUGAAAAAGACUGAAUACCAGUACUUCCUCUCACUUAGACUCUGAUUCAUCCCCAGUUCCCUCAGGCAAUUACAUAUUAUGGAGGGACACCAGAACUAAAUGGCAGUAGAUUCAGAAUCCUUAAUCCUCUAACCAUGGAAGGACUGAUGGACCAAAUAAAAACUAUCUCUAAUAAGGAACAGCUGUCAGAUGGAAUCAUGCUCACAUUCGACUUUCUUCUCAGAAAAAAUGUGGAUUGCACCAAGCAACAGUACCCACGGAAAAGAGACUACACGGAGACCUGGGAAUGCUCAGAGUGCCUGGGCCCACUUGUAAUACUCCUCCUCGGGAAAAAUUCAGGGUCUUUAGUUCCACAUUUCAGCAAAGAGAGCUAAAGUAAAACCCGGAUUGUUUACAGAUCCUUUUCAGACAACUGAAAAACUAAGAUUUUUCAGGAGGGGAAAAAAGGAUUCCAGUCCAACUGACAGAGAAAUCAUGAUGGAGUAUACGAAUAAAGGGGCAUCUCAUGUUCCCUUCCCCCAAGGCCAUCUCCCUAAACUGCAACACCCUGCUAAGGAAGUAUCACAUAAGGAAAACAUGUGAUGUUGCCUGUUUAACAGCCCCAGUAAAUAGCAGAUCGGAUACAGCAGGAAUAGAACUGUAAAGGGCAAAUCAUUCAGCUGUUUUAGAGGAGUCAUAAGGAAAAGAAGAAUGAGUCAUUAAAUAAAAGUCUUAUGCACAUUCUGAAUGAAGAAGAUGGUCAAUAAAGAUAUAUGUAUCACAAAUGCAGAAAUACCCUUAAACCUAACUGGUACAGAUUGGAAGGUUAAACUUGAAUCAUGUUAAUAUACUUGGGGAAACUUUCUGCCCCAAAGUAGCAGUGUUGCCUACUGGAUAGAGCAGGGGUCUGGGAGUCAGAAGGACUUGGGUUCUAAUUCCAGGUCU